GAUGAACGCUGGCGGCGUGCCUAAUACAUGCAAGUCGAGCGAACAGACGAGGAGCUUGCUCCUCUGACGUUAGCGGCGGACGGGUGAGUAACACGUGGAUAACCUACCUAUAAGACUGGGAUAACUUCGGGAAACCGGAGCUAAUACCGGAUAAUAUAUUGAACCGCAUGGUUCAAUAGUGAAAGACGGUUUUGCUGUCACUUAUAGAUGGAUCCGCGCCUCAUUAGCUAGUUGGUAAGGUAACGGCUUACCAAGGCAACGAUGCGUAGCCGACCUGAGAGGGUGAUCGGCCACACUGGAACUGAGACACGGUCCAGACUCCUACGGGAGGCAGCAGUAGGGAAUCUUCCGCAAUGGGCGAAAGCCUGACGGAGCAACGCCGCGUGAGUGAUGAAGGUCUUCGGAUCGUAAAACUCUGUUAUUAGGGAAGAACAAAUGUGUAAGUAAAUAUGCACGUCUUGACGGUACCUAAUCAGAAAGCCACGGCUAACUACGUG
rnacentral:rRNA from 1 species